AUAUCUCAUAGCCAUCAUAUGUAUAUUACAUAUGAUAAACAUAUUGAACCCGAGAGAGUGAAUCUGAGAGAGUGAGUCUGGAGAGAGAGAUGCAGAUUGAGAGAUGAGAGAGAUGCUGUCAGAGAGUUGAGAGCAGAGAGAGAGGCAGAGUUUGAGAGACCAACAGAGGGAGAGACCCGGAUUCCCUUCCUUCUCCCUAUCUCCUUUUCUUUCUCUUCUUUUUGAAACUGACGGAGAUGAGGGAUCGAGUGAGGGCUGUGAGACAAAGAGAAUUGUUAAGAGAGAGAUCCGGGUGGUCUGUGAAGGAGAAACCCGGAGGUACUGGGAUCCGUAGCAAACCCGAGCCCAUAACCUGUGAGGACCCAUAGCAGAUCGGACCGAACCAGUGAACCCAAACCCAGUAGCGAUCCAGCCCAGGCCAAAUCUGGUCGGCCCAUCAACCAUAAAGACCCAUGACACCAUGGGCUGACUUCAACCCAGACCCACUGAGCCCGACCCGGCCCCAACCUGUGACCCGACCCGCCGGCGACCCGUCUCCGGCAGACUUUUCCGGCAACUUUCCCGGCGACUUUUCCGGCGACUUUUCCGGCGCUUAUUAUAAAAAUCCUUGGGAUGAUGAACUGAGAGGACUCAUGAGAUUGUGGUUAACACCACAAUCACAUGCGAGUUUUGCAGGAACGAAGAUAGGAGUUGCCAGACUGAUUAAGGAAGAGACUUUUAGUUUAUAGCUUUUAUAUACAAUGAUUCUGUAAUAUUCGCGCCGCAUGUGGCACGAUUAUUAUUAUUUAAAUGUAUCAGAUCAAAUGGUCAGUAUUUUAUAUAUUGAGUUUAUUCAGUCAAA